rnacentral:rRNA from 1 species
GAUGAACGCUAGCGGCAGGCCUAAUACAUGCAAGUCGGACGGGAUCCAUCGGAGAGCUUGCUCGAAGAUGGUGAGAGUGGCGCACGGGUGCGUAACGCGUGAGCAACCUACCUCUAUCAGGGGGAUAGCCUCUCGAAAGAGAGAUUAACACCGCAUAAUAUAAUCUUCCGGCAUCGUUAGAUUCUUAAAUAUUUAUAGGAUAGAGAUGGGCUCGCGUGACAUUAGCUAGUUGGUAAGGUAACGGCUUACCAAGGCGACGAUGUCUAGGGGCUCUGAGAGGAGAAUCCCCCACACUGGUACUGAGACACGGACCAGACUCCUACGGGAGGCAGCAGUAAGGAAUAUUGGUCAAUGGGCGGAAGCCUGAACCAGCCAUGCCGCGUGCAGGACGACUGCCCUAUGGGUUGUAAACCGCUUUUGUCCAGGAAUAAACCUAAAUACGUGUAUUUAGCUGAAUGUACUGGAAGAAUAAGGAUCGGCUAACUCCGUGCCAGCCGCCGCCGUAAUAC